rnacentral:rRNA from 1 species
UACGAGGGGGCUAGCGUUGUUCGGAUUUCCUGGGCGUAAAGCGCACGUAGGCGGAUUGUUAAGUCAGGGGUGAAAUCCUGGAGCUCAACUCCAGAACUGCCUUUGAUACUGGCAAUCUAGAGUCCGGAAGAGGUGAGUGGAACUCCUAGUGUAGAGGUGGAAUUCGUAGAUAUUAGGAAGAACACCAGUGGCGAAGGCGGCUCACUGGUCCGGUACUGACGCUGAGGUGCGAAAGCGUGGGGAGCAAACAGG